UUAGUGUUUGAUUGAUUACUUUGGUGUUGGACUUUCCUGUAGAGGGAUCAACAAAUUCACAAGGAGUUGCUGUUGCGGUUACUCGCUUCCCGAUGGAGCAGAAACGACCAAUUGGUCCACUUGUGGUCGUGGGAGUUAAAGAUGGAGUACUUUGGCUAAUUGACAGCGGCAAAGACUCUUAUAAAGUAUUUGACGACAGAAAACAAGAGGUUGUGUGUGAUGAUAUUGAUGAAUUACGGAAAGAAGUUGUCUCGUCGAGAACUGCUAAAGACCAACAAUAUGAGAUUUUCAGCAACGUUUAAUGGAGGAAAAACAGAAGAGUUUGCUAUGGUCUUCUUCUGCAGUACUUUGCUACUUUAACGAAUCAAAAACCAUUGAAUUUUCAUUUAUUGAACUUGCUUGUUAAGCCACUGAUGGCGAUGAGUGCAGAGAUUCCAUAUUUUUCAGCGAUUUGUGCUCGUGAACGAAUUUUAAGGACUCGUACAAAAUUCUCUGAGGAUAUCAAGGACCCAGGUUUUCCAUCAGUUACAUAACUGUUUCUUGUUUGUUUCAGUAUUUUUAUACUUUAUCUUUCAUGUACUUAGUCUCGUGUUAUUGCAGCGGUUGCUAUGCUUUUUAGUUGUUUUCGGUGCAAGUUGUCGUGCCAUUGCGUGCGACUACUACAGGCUAAGCCAAUUUUUGUACAAGUUAUUACAGCUUUGUUAAACUAAUAUUUGUUAUUAAACUAAUAGUUACUAUAUGCA